GGAAGCUGUCAAAGGCAUGUAGCCUCGAACGGGCCGGAUUAUAGUCAGUUAGCCACCAGAGCUCGUCUGGAGUACAACUAGUUUCGGCAAAAUGUAAAUAUUCAUCAAAAAUAUCAAAAUUCUCAGUGAAAUGGACGGGAUUUUAUUGACUCACUUUUCUUCACAUACACACACACGCACCUUCGAUAAUUCACACUCUUGAUGAUGAUUUAACCAUUGAUGAUAAAUACCUGAUGAUGUCCCUGAUGACGACCCCUGAUGACACCAUGUAUCCUGAUGAGCAUGGGACCGUAAUGAUGAUUCACACUAAAUGAUGCACACUGAAUGAUGUACAACGAUAUGUACUUAACUGGUGCACGCUUGCUUGUGCCUAACCUUGAUAAUCUACUACUAACUUGAUGAUAUACAACACUGGAUGUAGCACGCUUUUCCUUUCACCGAUGAUGUACGCCUGAAGUACACUCUUGAGCAUUGUUUUCUAUGACGACGGGGAAACAAUUAUAAUUGUAUUUGGUUUUAUCGAAGGAACCGAAGCAUUAUUGAAAGCCGUUUAAUUAAAUUUGAUUUAUAAAAGGGUGUCGAGAUUUUGAUCAUGAUUGCCAGCUGACAGCCACUACCCGGUCGAACUACUACUGCCUAUUACUUAAACAUAAUGGAGGUCGAUUUUUCGUUUCGCCAAAUUCGUUCACUGAUUAAUAUAUGACGAUAUAAAUAUAUUCUACUGCAACCCAAACGAAGGCUUAGGGACACACUAUAGGGAGAGCUGAUGGUACCGGUCCCGCUGGACGCGUAGCUUGCAUCGCUUCUCCCCACGAUGAUUAUGAUGAUUAUGAUAA